GUGCUCCCUUUGGCAGCACAUAUACUAAAAGUGGAAUGAUGCAGACAUUAGCAUGGUCUCUGCACAAGGAUGACAGGCAAUCUCGUGAAGUGUUCCAUAUUUAA